GGGGAGGAGUCCAGCUCGGAGGACCCGGGCAAAUAUAGCGAAGCUAGCAGCAGCAGCAGCAGUGGCAGUGGCAGCAGCGACAGUGGUGGAAGUGAGCAGUAACAUGGCAGCAGUGAUGAGCGCUUGGGGGUGCACACACCAUGUCGGCCCCAGGCAGGAUGGGACAGACCAAUCCCAAUAGGUGCCAGUACAUGUCAUGCAUCGGGGGUUUCAUCCGUAGGAGUAGGCAUGAACUCUGCAAGUGGUGGUGAGACUCCUUGGCGAGCACUUGCUGUAUGGGGGGUGACAUGAACACUGUUUUCGAGGACGAUGGUUGAGAUGAAUGCAUCAGGCUGUCAGGCUGGCUGGUCGGCGUUGUGAGUCCAAAGCGCCUUGGUCCACAAGCACACUGAGACUUAGGCUACUUUGACAAGGGGUGUGCGUCCAUUUUGAGGCUUGCCGCAAGUAUUCACCAAUCGUUAAUUUAACAUGCAGUAAGCGUCACAUCACAGAGUAAUAUCUGCCUGUGUAACCCUGAUAACAGGGUCUCCACCCGUAAUUGUACAUGUAAUUGGUUACAUGUGCCCGUAAUUCACCUCCAGCACCGCGUAAAAUCCACCCGUAAUCACUGGGUCUCCACCCGUAAUUGUACGUGUAAUUGGUUACAUGUGCCCGUAAUUCACCUCCAGCACCGCGUAAAAUCCACCCGUAAUCACUGGGUCUUCACCCGUAAUUUCGCGUGUAAUUGGUUACAUGCGCCUGUAAUUCACCUCCAACACCGCGUAAAAUCCACCCGUAAUCACUGGGUCUUCACCCGUAAUUUCGCGUGUAAUUGGUUACAUGCGCCCGUAAUUCACCUCCAACACCGCGUAAAAUCCACCCGUAAUCACUGGGUCUUCACCCGUAAUUUCGCGUGUAAUUGGUUACAUGCGCCCGUAAUUCACCUCCAGCACCGCGUAAAAUCCACCCGUAAUCACUGGGUCUUCACCCGUAAUUUUGCGUGUAAUUGGUUACAUGCGCCCGUAAUUCACCUCCAGCACCGCGUAAAAUCCACCCGUAAUCACUGGGUCUUCACCCGUAAUUUUGCGUGUAAUUGGUUACAUGCGCCCGUAAUUAACCUCCAGCACCGCGUAAAAUCCACCCGUAAUCACUGGGUCUUCACCCGUAAAUGUUCACCUGUAUCCUUGUGCUCAAAUUACGGGACCCGUAACGUGUUACGGACCCGUAAUUUCUGUCAAAUUACGGGUGGAUUGACCCAAAAUUACGGGUAAAAUGACCCCCCUUUUCCCAGAGUGCGAGUGAACUGGUCCAUCCUGCACCACAAGCGCCAUUGUGGGUCUAACUCCUAUGCUUACGUAUCAUGCCUGUGCACUGAAGGCCUGCAUGUAACUCUGGCAAGCAUGCUACACCCUGACAUGAGCAUGUACAGCUGCACCCAACGUCUCUGCAGUCUCACCUCCACCACGCUGGAUACCCUUGCCCGCAUCGACCUGUCAGGCCACCGCACCCUCAUACUCAACACAUCUGGUUGCACAACCCCCGAACCCCUGCUGACCGGCGCACAACAGACUAUCUGAAACCACCACCCCGCCAUCAUUGUGCCUUCAGUCUAUCCAUGCGCCUCAUCCAACCUUUGCUGUCAAGCGGCAACUUCACAGCCAGCACCGUCACUGCAUACAGUGCCUGCAUGGAGCCAUGCGAGUAGCCCAGGUUCAGCGCCCAGACUGCCUGUGACUCAAUUCACUCUCCGCAUGAAUGUUUUGCCCUGAGACUGGCGCAACAUGCCACACUUGCACGGCAGCAUGGCGCCGAGGCACGAGCACGGCUCCCCUCUCCUGAGCCCGAUGAGGAGCUGCACGCCAUGCUUGAGGAGUGCAUUAGCCCCGACCUGCAGGGCACGAAACGGUCCAAACUGUUGGAUGUGAUUAUGCGCAAUACGCUCCCGUUGGCAUAAAAUUAUUCCACUCUUACCAAAAUUAUUAGCAGCAUUUGAAAGCUCUACAUGUUCGCACGAAACAACCGGGAGCUGGGCAAGAACCCAUGGGUAAAGGUCAAGGUGGAUACAGGUGACGCUGUGCCCGUAUACAUGCUGCCGUACUGUAUGGGAAAGGCCGAGUGGGAAGCCGCUGACACUGAGAUCAGCAAAAUGUGGGCCGAUGGCAUUGUGGAGCCGUCAACCAGCCCUUGGUCAGCACCGAUGCUGGUCAUCAAGAAGCAGUCAUCAAGAAGCAGUCAUCAAGAAGCUUCUUGAUGACCAGCAUCAAGAAGCAGUCGGGCGGCCUGCGAUGUGUGGUGGACUUGUGCCGCCUCAACCAGGUGCUGAAGCUGCAGCCUUACCUGAUGGGCAACAUCCAGGACAUCUUGGACUCGGUCGCUCCACCUGUGGGGCAGAAGCGAUACUACUACUCAUUCGACAUGGUGUCCGGAUUCUUCAGCCUUGAGCUGGCCGACCAAGAGAGCAUGCAACGGUGCGCGUUCAGCAUGGGCAACACGCAGUGGUGCUACCGUGUCAUGCCCAUGCAUGGGCAUAUGGGCCUAUAUGGGCCCAUAUGGGCCUGUCGUCCAGCCCUAUCUUCUUCACUACUUUGCUGCGCAAGAUCCUGGCCCCUAUGCUACUUGACGGCGGCCCGACCCUACCUGGGGCCACAGCGGAUGAGGACGCACUGAUGACUCCACCCCUGAAGUGCGCCACUCCGGAUCAGCGCUGCGUGGAGCAUGAACGGUGUCAGCAGAAGUCGCGGCAAGUACCACCUCGAGCGCACAGCAUGUCGCGCUCCAUCAGAGUUGAUAAGGAUAUCGUGUACCUCAUAAAAUUGACUUGCUCCUCCGCAGCUUCUGACAGGGCCUCCGCAGCUUCUGCCCUCGCCUUCUCGGCAUCUGCGCGCCGACCCAGCUCCUGAAUAGCUUCCGCUUGGUUUGGACCCUUCAAAGCCGCGUCCAUGAGUUGAGUGUUGGUAGGGCUUCCAUCCAGGCAACACGACGACGUGCAAGUUCUCUAUGGUCUGCACAACCUGGACAAUGCUUAUUGCAAACUGUUAUGUAUAUAAGCACUCAGAAGAACUUAUGUGACGUCAAGUAAGCGCGUAACAAUUUCAUCGAGAAUGGCGGGCAGAAGCAGUGCACCAAACUUUUUGCGCAGCAUCUUUUAAUGCUCCCAAUCGUUCCGAGCGAGCCGGUCCCCGGAUGGGGUACAUUGUGUUAAACGGUGUACAAUGGUCUCAAUACCAUUGUAACACAGCAAAGGCAUAACCCGGGAUGCUCAGACGGGCCUUGCGUCGUUACACAACGUCACACCGCAAAAGCGGUUCCGCGCAACCAUUUCCGCUCACUUCCAUGCU
rnacentral:lncRNA from 1 species